CCUUCGGGAGGCUGCAGUAGGGAAUUUUUCACAAUGGGCGAAAGCCUGAUGGAGCAAUGCCGCGUGAAUGAUGAAGGUCUUAUAGAUUGUAAAAUUCUUUUAUUUGGGAAGAAAAACUAAAGUAGGAAAUGACUUUAGUCUGACUGUACCAUUUGAAUAAGUAUCGGCUAACUAUGUGCCAGCAGCCGCGGUAAUACAUAGGAUGCAAGCGUUAUCCGGAUUUACUGGGCGUAAAACGAGCGCAGGCGGGUUAACAAGUUUGGUAUGAAAGGCUUUUGCUAAACGAAAGUUUGUAUCAAAAACUGUUAAUCUAGGGGGGAGAGGAGAGUUCUGAAAGUCCAGGGGGAGCGGUGGAAUGCG
rnacentral:rRNA from 1 species